AUGAUUAUGAAGUCUUGCCACAUUCAAUGGUAGGAUGUAUUAACUGCAAUUUGUCAUUCAUCUAUACUUAAAGUUUAGUUGCUUGCAUAUGUUUCUUUUUUUAUAUAAAUUUAUUUAUUUUAAUUGGAGGCUAAUUACUUUACAAUAUCGUAUUGAUUUUGCCGUAGCUGUCUCAUAAUAAAGCCAUGGAGACAUAAGUAGUAUAGAGUUUAAUGGCUGAUUGCCUUGAUUCAGAAAGGUGAGAGGGUCACAGCUUUACUGAGUAACCCAGAAUAAGUUGUUACAUUUCUCCAAGCUUAUUUAGUAAUUUACAAACUAACCCUCUGCCCUCCUUUCUCUGCAGGUGAACCACAAAUAUCAAGCCAUUUUCCAAUGAAGAUGUAUCUGUCCCAGAGUUGAACGUGCACCUGGAGCCAGAGGACUCUAAGGAGCUGGUUUUGAAGAAGCUUUGCCUCCUUUUCCCUGUCUACUUUUGGACCCAGGGCCACAGGCCCACUGACCCUCUUGAUGGGCAGAGGAACCACCUGGAGGAAGCUGGCUUGGAGAAAACUGAGGCUCAAUGUCCUUUACAGCUGAGAAUGAAAAAUGUGCUGCCCUGUCAAGAAAGGAUGCUGCAGCUGUCUAGCCAUCAGCCAGUACUGUGGCCUGGCUGGUGAGCCCUGAGGGACUCCAGUAUGGAGACCAAUGGGUGGACUAUUGCCAAGCCUUCAGCCACUGCAGACACUCCCAGUGGUGCAUCCUGAGGGGAUUCAGGAUGGAAAAGAACAAGAUACUGGCAUUGGAUAGCUAAGGUGCAUAGCAAAGGAAUGAUUUCAUUAAGCCCAGAUUCUUGUUUUGUUUCUUCCGCUACAAGAAAAAAGCUAAAUUCAUUCAUGUGAGAUGCUUAGUUUUCUCUAAUAGUAAGCUUUUGAUGUUCUGACUACCUGCUUUUGUUGCAAAAUUCUUGUAUAUCCUUCAGAACAGUACCUCAGAGCUAUCUGAGAGGCUGUCUCCUGGGCUUGAGCCCUCAAAAAGUCUGCUGAAUAAAACAAUUCUCAACUUAAAUAAAUAAAUAAUAAGGAAAAAAAAACUGUGAAAAACACAAAUAUGUGGAGGCUAAACAAUACGCUAGCAAACAACCAAUGGAUCACUGAAGAAAAUCAAAAGGAAAAAAAAAAUACCUAGAGA
rnacentral:lncRNA from 1 species